rnacentral:lncRNA from 1 species
CCUAGCUGUUGGCGGAUUAAGGUGGCUGUUGGAGGCUGGUUUUCUUCUUUGCUAGAAGGCAGCAGUGGAAGGAGCAGAUGUUCACCAAACCCGUGGACGCCUUGUCCUCUGAGGCCUCAGGAGGGUCUUGAGGUCUCUUCAUUCCUGCUGAGUCCGAGCACUGCUGUCUGUCAGUACUGCCCAGCUGACACUUGGGCUCUCAGCCCCGAAGGGGACACCUCGGAGAAGUCCAUCCCUGUAUAGCCCAGCAUCUGUGGCUGAGGCCUCUGCUGUGGAGACUCCUG